GUAGGUGGCAAGCGUUGUCCGGAAUUAUUGGGCGUAAGGCGCGCGCAGGCGGUCCUUUAAGUCUGAUGUGAGAGCCCACGGCUCAACCGUGGAGGGUCAUUGGAAACUGGGGGACUUGAGUACAGAAGAGGAAAGCGGAAUUCCAAGUGUAGCGGUGAAAUGCGUAGAGAUUUGGAGGAACACCAGUGGCGAAGGCGGCUUUCUGGUCUGUAACUGACGCUGAGGCGCGAAAGCGUGGGGAGCAAACAGGGAUUAGAUACCCUGGUAGUCCACGCCGUAAACGAUGAGUGCUAAGUGUUAGGGGGUUUCCGCCCCCUUAGUGCUGCAGCUAACGCAUUAAGCACUCCGCCUGGGGAUACGGCCGCAAGGCUG
rnacentral:rRNA from 1 species